AGUUAGUAAACAAACAACAUUCCUGCUCGAGCAAAAAAGAAUACAAAUGCUUGACGAUUUUAAUUGAAGCAGACGGUUUAUGCAAAUCUUAUCAAACCAAAUGGGAAUGUGUCCAUUAGAAACCAAGACAACAUCGUAGACCCAACAAUUUCCCAUUACUGCUGAAGUUAAGAUACUGUAAGAUUCAAAUUUCAACAAUUUUAAGAAGACGUUCAACAUUCUUAAGACAGGAUAAACCUGAUUUCCACAUUAUGCCUCAAAUUUUUUCACAAAUUAGGCAGAGAAAAAGAGAGAGGACAAAAUAAUUCAGUCCAUUCUGACACAAGAAAAGUUUACGGCCAAUCAGAUGAAGUUUCUAGCUCCCACAGGAUAUCAAUAGCAAAGUAGGAAUGAAGCUCAAGGGCUUUAACAACUUAGCAGUUAGAGGUCAACUAAUUAACUGAAAAACCUUCACUUAAAAAAUCACAAAUACAUUAAUUAACAUGGUAAAAAGACGAAGAACUUUUUUUUUAGUCUUUUUCAGUUCAUUCAUUUUAGAAGAAGAAAUAAAUAAUUGCUGUUAUUCCCAAAUAAAAAACUUCCAUGGACAGAUAGUUUUCAUAAAAAGAUGCAUCAAAUAUAUAAAGAAGCAUCCUAAAUACACUACAACAAACUAGAAUCUUGCAUCUUGAAUUCUUGCCUCUAGGACUAAAUUCUAACUGAUAUCAAAACAUGCAUUUAUGCAAGGCCUUAGAGGAAAAUGUUGUCUUAUCAUAGGCACUAAAAAAAUAAUGUUCUAAAUAUUAAAAAAAAAAAAUUUGUUUACCGAAGGAAAAUUUUCAGCAGACAUAUCUGAUGCUUAUAAUAAAUCAGCUAGAUAAUAAAUUUCAUGUUCUUA
rnacentral:misc_RNA from 1 species